rnacentral:misc_RNA from 1 species
CGGUUCGAGUCCGCUUACCUCCACUGAUUAACUACCUGAUAACUCAAUUUGGAGAUUAUCGUUUGUUGAAUGUGAUUUAGAGUUGUUCCUCUGAUUGGAACCUAGCUUCCUAUCAUUCCUUAGAUUAUUAGGCUGAUAAGACGCUGGGCUCACUAAAUAUUUUAGGAUAUUUAGUUUGUUUCAGUA